GGCUUAACACAUGCAAGUCGAGGGGCAGCAUUUUAGUUUGCUUGCAAACUAAAGAUGGCGACCGGCGCACGGGUGAGUAACACGUAUCCAACCUGCCGAUAACUCAGGGAUAGCCUUUCGAAAGAAAGAUUAAUACCUGAUGGCAUAGGAUUAUCGCAUGAUAAUCCUAUUAAAGAAUUUCGGUUAUCGAUGGGGAUGCGUUCCAUUAGGCAGUUGGUGAGGUAACGGCUCACCAAACCUUCGAUGGAUAGGGGUUCUGAGAGGAAGGUCCCCCACAUUGGAACUGAGACACGGUCCAAACUCCUACGGGAGGCAGCAGUGAGGAAUAUUGGUCAAUGGACGGGAGUCUGAACCAGCCAAGUAGCGUGAAGGAUGACUGCCCUAUGGGUUGUAAACUUCUUUUAUACGGGAAUAAAGUGAUCCACGUGUGGGUUUUUGUAUGUACCGUAUGAAUAAGGAUCGGCUAACUCCGUGCCAGCAGCCGCGGUAAUACGGAGGAUCCGAGCGUUAUCCAGAUUUAUUGGGUUUAAAGGGAGCGUAGGUGGAUUGUUAAGUCAGUUGUGAAAGUUUGCGGCUCAACCGUAAAAUUGCAGUUGAUACUGGCAGUCUUGAGUACAGUAGAGGUGGGCGGAAUUCGUGGUGUAGCGGUGAAAUGCUUAGAUAUCACGAAGAACUCCGAUUGCGAAGGCAGCUCACUGGACUGCAACUGACACUGAUG
rnacentral:rRNA from 1 species